UGGGAUGUGGCUCAGAUUUAGAGUGUUUGCCUGGCGUGCAUAAGAUCCUGGGUUCAAUUCCCAGUACCACAU
rnacentral:tRNA from 1 species